ACCGUGAGACCUUCAUCCAACGGAUCGUCGGGCACGUACCUGCCCGGAGAAGGAGUAAACA
rnacentral:ncRNA from 1 species